UUCCCUCUGAGGUUAUCCUUCCUAAUCCACUCCUAACAACUUUUUUUGGGGACCAAUCAUAACACUCACUCAUUAAAGAGGAUUUCCUCUAUCUUCCAACGAGAAAAACAACAAGCAUAAUAUCCCAUUCUUCUCAAAAAAGAAGACACUUUCACUUUUCGUUUUUGGAUCAUCUUCUCUACCCCAUAAAAACGUGACCCACACCCUCAUCUCCCUCCGAUCCAUUCACCGCUCCGCACCACCGUUACCUUUCUCUUCCUUCAAAAAACCCUCCUACGGCCAUCACAACACGACCUCCGUCCUUAGCUUCCAUCACCGUUUUCCUUUACCUCUUUAUCACUACCUUCGUCCAAAUGCCGCCGACCCCCUCACUCCUCCCGUGCCGGCAAAAAAAACCACACACGGUUCACCCCUCCGCCAUUUGAAGCUUCUCCGAACUGGAUUUAUAAACCUCCGCUUCCAUCGUUUCUCCUUCGCCUUUAGCCUUUGAACAUCAUUUACCCAUACAUUCACUUUCAGUGCCCUGUUUCUGAUUCCAUCCAUACAAUCAAAGUGUCGAAACAACCUUUUAGUUUCUCGCCAAGAUCUCUGAAUACUCACCUUCAACAGAAAGAGUGUUCUUCUCAUGCUUCGUAUUAUAUUCAUAUGAUGUGAACAUUUGUGAUGCCACUUUGAAGAUCGGUGGAUCUAACAGUUCUAUUUAUAACAAGGAAAAUUUUCCUCACGGUGCAAUAGAUAGUAAGGGAAGCUCCGUUUUUCACUUGUUUCUCACCAUCAUGACUACACCAUACGAAAUCAUCAGCUCACCUCACUCUUCUCCACACCAACAUGAAGCUAACAACCUAAACCACAAUGUGACUUAACCUGAUUCCAGUAGCAAUCGCAUCGGCAAUACGUUGAUGUGUGUUAUAGUUUUGGUUAACUCUGAUUAACUCGUGACUAUUCGAUAAUUUCCAGCCAUUGUUCCACAACGGUCGUUUGGAUCCAAAUGUUGUACUUACAAAGGUUUUAAUUUGACAAGUUAUUUUGCUGCCAUUAUAUGGAUCUUUAUUAUAUGAUACAUGUUGUAAUAUGAUUAGUAUUUUAGUGUGUGCAAGGACUGUCAUUAUCUUGAGUUUAA